CCUACGGGCGGCAGCAGUGAGGAAUAUUGGUCAAUGGACGAGAGUCUGAACCAGCCAAGUAGCGUGAAGGAUGACUGCCCUAUGGGUUGUCAACUUCUUUUAUAUGGGAAUAAAAUGUUCCACGUGUGGGAUUUUGUAUGUACCAUAUGAAUAAGGAUCGGCGAACUCCGUGCCAGCAGCCGCGGUAAUACGGAGGAUGCGAGCGUUGUCCGGAUUUCGUGGGUUUAAAGGGUGCGUAGGCGGAAUGCCAAGUCAGCGGUAAAAUCGCGGGGCUCAACCUCGCUCCGCCGUUGAAACUGGCGUUCUUGAGUGGGCGAGAGGUAUGCGGAAUGCGUGGUGUAGCGGUGAAAUGCAUAGAUAGCACGCAGAACCCCGAUUGCGAAGGCAGCAUACCGGUGCACAACUGACGCUCAGGCACGAAAGCGUGGGUAUCGAACAGGAUUAGAUACCCCUGUAGUC
rnacentral:rRNA from 1 species